rnacentral:rRNA from 1 species
GACAGAGGGUGCAACCGUUGUUCGGAAUUACUGGGCGUAAAGGGCGCGUAGGCGGCCUGCUAAGUCGGAUGUGAAAUCCCUCGGCUCAACCGAGGAACUGCAUCCGAUACUGGCGGGCUUGAAUCCGGGAGAGGGAUGUGGAAUUCCAGGUGUAGCGGUGAAAUGCGUAGAUAUCUGGAGGAACACCGGUGGCGAAGGCGGCAUCCUGGACCGGUAUUGACGCUGAGGCGCGAAAGCUAGGGGAGCAAACGGG